AGCUCCAAUAGCGUAUAUUAAAGUUGUUGCGGUUAAAAAGCUCGUAGUUGGAUUUCUGCUGAGGACGACUGGUCCGCCCUCUGGGUGAGUAUCUGGUUCGGCCUUAGCAUCUUCUUGGAGAGCGUUGCUGCACUUCACUGUGUGGCACGUUAUUCAGGACUUUUACUUUGAGGAAAUUAGAGUGUUUCAAGCAGGCGCACGCCUUGAAUACAUUAGCAUGGAAUAAUAUGAUAGGACCUUGGUUCUAUUUUGUUGGUUUCUAGAGCUGAGGUAAUGAUUAAUAGGGACGGACGGGGGCAUUUGUAUUGCGACGUUAGAGGUGAAAUUCUUAGAUCGUCGCAAGACAAACUACUGCGAAAGCAUUUGCCAAGAAUGUUUUCAUUAAUCAAGAACGAAAGUA
rnacentral:rRNA from 1 species